rnacentral:rRNA from 1 species
GAUCCUGGCUCAGGAUGAACGCUAGCUACAGGCUUAACACAUGCAAGUCGAGGGGCAGCAUUGGAGUAGCAAUACUCAGAUGGCGACCGGCGCACGGGUGAGUAACACGUAUCCAACCUGCCGCUUACUCGGGGAUAGCCUUUCGAAAGAAAGAUUAAUACCCGAUGGUAUAAAGAGUUCGCAUGUUCUCUUUAUUAAAGAAUUUCGGUAAGCGAUGGGGAUGCGUUCCAUUAGAUAGUUGGCGGGGUAACGGCCCACCAAGUCUACGAUGGAUAGGGGUUCUGAGAGGAAGGUCCCCCACAUUGGAACUGAGACACGGUCCAAACUCCUACGGGAGGCAGCAGUGAGGAAUAUUGGUCAAUGGACGAGAGUCUGAACCAGCCAAAAGUAGCGUGAAGGAUGACUGCCCUAUGGGUUGUAAACUUCUUUUAUAAGGGAAUAAAGUGAGGGACGUGUCCCUUUUUGUAUGUACCUUAUGAAUAAGGAUCGGCUAACUCCGUGCCAGCCGCCGC